rnacentral:misc_RNA from 1 species
GAUGAAGAACGUAGCGAAAUGCGAUACUUGGUGUGAAUUGCAGAAUCCCGUGAACCAUCGAGUCUUUGAACGCAAGUUGCGCCUCAAGCCAUUAGGUUGAGGGCACGUCUGCCUGGGCGUCACAUAUCGUUGCCUGAUGCCAGUUUCCUCGUGAUGGGUGACUGUGCAGGGCGAAUGAUGGCUUCCCGUGAGCAUUGUUGCCUCAUGGUUGGUUGAAAAUUGAGUCCUUGGUAGGGAGCGCCGUGAUAGAUGGUGGUUGAGUGACGAACGAGACCCAAUCAUGUGAGACCCCUACCGAAUUGGGCCUUCAUGACCCACAUGCGUCUUUGGAACGCUCAUGACGAGACCUCAGGUCAGGCGGGGCUACCCGCUGAGUUUAAGCAUAUCAAUAAGCGGAGGA